GAUGAACGCUGGCGGCGUGCCUAAUACAUGCAAGUCGAGCGAACAGAUGAGGAGCUUGCUCCUCUGACGUUAGCGGCGGACGGGUGAGUAACACGUGGAUAACCUACCUAUAAGACUGGGAUAACUUCGGGAAACCGGAGCUAAUACCGGAUAAUAUAUUGAACCGCAUGGUUCAAUAGUGAAAGACGGUUUUGCUGUCACUUAUAGAUGGAUCCGCGCCGCAUUAGCUAGUUGGUAAGGUAACGGCUUACCAAGGCAACGAUGCGUAGCCGACCUGUGAGAGGGUGCGCGGACACAAGAAAAGUGACACGGGCCCCAGUCCUACGGGAGGGGCAGGAGGAGGAACUUUCGCGAAAGGGGAGAACGCCAGACGGCGAAGCGGCGCGUGAGUGAAGAAGGUUCGCGGCGCGAAACACUCUGUUAAGGGGGAAGAAAAAAUGUGUGAGAAUAUACGCAUGUCUACAGGGUCCAAUCAGAGAACGACACGUAUAUAUAUG
rnacentral:rRNA from 1 species